CUAGGAACAUUUGUAGCAUGUACAACAAUGAUUUAGCGACCUUUUUGCGGCUUUUCAAGGUGGAUCUGGUGAUUUAGAAUAUUUCUAUUUGGCAACUGCCCACCACCAUCAUCACCACCACAAUCAGCUACCAGACGUCCAUUUCCUCACCAGACACGAGACCUGUGAACACGGUGACCGCCCCACUUGCCUCACCUAGUCCACCAGCUCCACCUGCUCAGUGAGAGGAUUGCACAAAUACACUGCCAGAAAGACAAGUAAAGCAAGGAAGAGGAUCACUGCAGAGAUGUCAGUCAGCCACACACCCAGCCAGCCAGCCAGCCAGCCAGCCAGUCAUUGAGUGAUGAUGAUGUUGAUUUUAGAGUUGUAGGAC